rnacentral:rRNA from 1 species
GUCUUAUUGUGAUAUUUUAUUUUAAGUCAAACCUGCUCAAUGAUUUAUAUUAAAUAGCCGCAGUAUUUUGACUGUGCAAAGGUAGCAUAAUCAUUUGUCUUUUAAUUGUAGGCUGGAAUGAAUGGUUAGAUGAAAUAUUAACUUUCUUUAUUUUAUAUUGAAAGAAUUUAAUUUUUUAGUUAAAAAGCUAAAAUAUUUCUGUAAGACGAGAAGACCCUAUAGAAUUUUACUUAAUAUAUAUUAGUUGCAUCUUAAAUAUUACCAUGUGUUAAACACAUAUUAAGUCUCGUUGGGGUGAUGGGGAAAUUUUAUUAACUUUCUUUAUAUAUAAUUUACUAAUUUGUAUAUAUUAAAGAUCCUUAUAUUAAGAUAAUAAGAUUAAAUUACCUUAGGGAUAACAGCGUAAUUCUUUUGGAGAGUUCAUAUCGAUGAAGGAGUUUGCGACCUCGAUGUUGGAUUAAAAUAAGUAUUAAGUGCAGAAGCUUAAUAACUAGGUCUGUUCGACCUUUAAUAUUUUACA